rnacentral:rRNA from 1 species
UCAGGCCUAACACAUGCAAGUCGAGCGGUAACAGAACCAGCUUGCUGGUUGCUGACGAGCGGCGGACGGGUGCGUAACACGUAGGAAUCUGCCCGGUAGUGGGGGAUAGCCCGGAGAAAUCCGGAUUAAUACCGCAUACGCCUUACGAGGGAAAGGAGGGGACUCUUCGGAGCCUUUCGCUAUCAGAUGAGCCUGCGUCGGAUUAGCUUGUUGGUGGGGUAAAGGCCUACCAAGGCGACGAUCCGUAGCUGGUCUGAGAGGAUGAUCAGCCACACUGGGACUGAGACACGGCCCAGACUCCUACGGGAGGCAGCAGUGGGGAAUAUUGCACAAUGGGCGAAAGCCUGAUGCAGCCAUGCCGCGUGUGUGAAGAAGGCCCUAGGGUUGUAAAGCACUUUCAGUGGGGAGGAAAGGUUGAAGGUUAAUACCCUUCAGCUGUGACGUUACCCACAGAAGAAGCACCGGCUAACUCCGUGCCAGCAGCCGCGGUAAUACGGAGGGUGCGAGCGUUAAUCGGAAUUACUGGGCGUAAAGCGUGCGUAGGCGGCCACCUAAGUUGGAUGUGAAAGCCCCGGGCUCAACCUGGGAACUGCAUCCAAAACUGGGUGGCUAGAGUACGGGAGAGGAGUGUGGAAUUUCCUGUGUAGCGGUGAAAUGCGUAGAUAUAGGAAGGAACACCAGUGGCGAAGGCGACACUCUG